GUCAGAACCAGGACGGACUGAACUUUGAACAGCAGCAGCAAUGGACACAAACAGACUGAAGAGGAGGCAGGACCCCUAUCAGCAAUAUCUGGAGCAGGAGGACAAGAGAGACCAGAGGGGGAGACGGUAGCUUCCCAAGAGAGGCAGUUUCCAGUUUCUUGUCUGAAACGUCCUUGGAAGACUAAAAAGGGGAAACAUCACCAUGUCAAUGAUCAUACAAAGAAGCACCAAUGCAGCGCCUGGGAAGCAGUGAUCUAAUCCUUCCAUGGAUCCGAACCCCCGUCCUUCCGAUCAUGGGGAAGCAAGGCUACCUACUGAACUGGCCCAGUUGUUCCUCAUUUUGUUUUUGUACUCAGGAGGAAUGCUGCUGUGUUCAGACACCAAAUAAAGAGUUUUGCACAUCAUGA